rnacentral:tRNA from 1 species
UCCCUGGUGGCUCAGACGGUAAAGCGUCUGCCUACAGUGCAGGAGACCUGGGUUCAAUCCCUGGGUUGGGAA